rnacentral:rRNA from 1 species
UGGGGAAUAUUGCACAAUGGGCGCAAGCCUGAUGCAGCCAUGCCGCGUGUGUGAAGAAGGCCUUCGGGUUGUAAAGCACUUUCAGCGGGGAGGAAGGCGGUGAGGUUAAUAACCUCAUCGAUUGACGUUACCCGCAGAAGAAGCACCGGCUAACUCCGUGCCAGCAGCCGCGGUAAUACGGAGGGUGCAAGCGUUAAUCGGAAUUACUGGGCGUAAAGCGCACGCAGGCGGUUUGUUAAGUCAGAUGUGAAAUCCCCGGGCUCAACCUGGGAACUGCAUCUGAUACUGGCAAGCUUGAGUCUCGUAGAGGGGGGUAGAAUUCCAGGUGUAGCGAUGAAAUGCGUAGAGAUCUGGAGGAAUACCGGUGGCGAAGGCGGCCCCCUGGACGAAGACUGACGCUCAGGUGCGAAAGCGUGGGGAGCAAACAGG